rnacentral:rRNA from 1 species
UACGAAGGGGGCUAGCGUUGUUCGGAAUUACUGGGCGUAAAGGGCGCGUAGGCGGCCUUGUUAGUCGUGUGUGAAAUACCUGGGCUCAACCCGGGAAUUGCGCUCGAUACUGCAAGGCUCGAGUGUGGGAGAGGUUGGUGGAAUUCCCAGUGUAGAGGUGAAAGUCGUAGAUAUUGGGAAGAACACCGGUGGCGAAGGCGGCCAACUGGACCACAACUGACGCUGAGGCGCGAAAGCGUGGGGAGCAAACAGG